CUCGCGUCCACCCGCUGGCUGGGGGGCCAGCGGGACCGGAGGGUGGGGAGGGGCGCGGGCCGCCGGGCUGGCCACGCCGGGGCCUCGGCCCGGAGUCCACAAGCUCAGGCUCCCGGGGACCCGACUCAUGAAGGCGGAAACUGGGACGCAGAGAGGGGAACUGGCCAAGGUCACACGGGAGCUCGCGGCCGGCGUGGUGACGUCUGACAGUCCUGGGACAUGAGGCAGGAGCAGGUGCGGGCUGUCCCCCAUGUCCCGGAAUCCGGGAGUCGGAGAGAACCCUAAGAUCAUCUUGCUCCACAGCUCCAUUUUCAGAUGAGGAGACCAACGGCAGAGACAUUUUAAAAAGAAGACCCAGGGACCUGCCCUGUGCUCAAGUGGUUAGGUUCUCUUGCUUGCUUCAGCAGCCCGGGGUUUCGUUGGUUCGGAUCCUGGGUGUGGACAUGGCAUCACUCAUCAAGCCAUGCUGAGGUGGCAUCCCACAUGCCACAACUAGAAGGACCCACAACUAAAAAUACACAACUAUGUACUGGGGGGCUUUGGGGAGAAAAAGGAAAAAUAAAAUCUUAAAAAAAAUAAUAAAAAGAAGACCCAGCUAGAAGUGGCCAUGAGUCUUCUUCAGGUCCAGGGGGAGCACUGCUUCUCGGGGGACCCUGCAUAUUUCGAGGGUUCCUCUCUGGAGCGUGGCUGGGG
rnacentral:lncRNA from 1 species